rnacentral:rRNA from 1 species
AUGUCCACCUCCUCCGCAGUCCCUUCCUCUGGCCUCAACUAUAACACCUCAGAACCUCUUAGCCGGACGAACUAUGUUCUCUGGCGAGCCCAAGCACGAUCCCAGAUAUUGGGCGCCGCCUUGUUUGGCUAUAUAGAUCGGACUACAAAGGAGCCUCCAAGAACAAUCAUCAGCAAAGAUAAAGAUGGCAAAGAUUAGGUAGUUUCCAACCCUAAUCAUAAUCCUUGGCUCGUUCAAGAUCAGCAAAUCGUAGCAUACCUCCUCUGAAACCUGUCCAAGGAGGUGCUUGUUCAAGUAGCCUCGCUUGAAUCAUCACAUGCGAUUUGGACCGCGUUAGCAAACAUGUUUUCUGCGGUCUCUCUGUCUCGUGUCAAUAACAUCAGG